AGGCAUUGAUGAAUGUAUUAUAUACCAUCAAACUUUGAAAGCCCAGAUUGGAGCUUGCUGAUGCCAACACCACUUUCUGAGCCU